UACGGGGGGGGGCAAGCGUUUGUUCGGAAUUACUGGGCGUAAAGGGCUCGUAGGCGGCCAACUAAGUCAGACGUGAAAUCCCUCGGCUUAACCGGGGAACUGCGUCUGAUACUGGAUGGCUUGAGGUUGGGAGAGGGAUGCGGAAUUCCGGUGUAGCGGUGAAAUGCGUAGAUAUCUGGAGGAACACCGGUGGCGAAGGCGGCAUCCUGGACCGACACUGACGCUGAG
rnacentral:rRNA from 1 species